rnacentral:rRNA from 1 species
GGUUGAUCCUGCCAGUAGUCAUAUGCUUGUCUCAAAGAUUAAGCCAUGCAUGUCUAAGUAUAAACAUCUUUAUACAGUGAAACUGCGUACAGCUCAUUAUAUCAGUUAUGAUUUAUUUGAUGGUGACUUAUUACAUGGAUACCCGUAGUAAUUCUAGAGCUAAUACAUGCGUCAAGUUCCGACUCGUUGAGGGAAGGAAUGUAUUUAUUAGAUACAAAUCAAUCAUUUUUAGCAAUAAAAAUGCUUUUUGGUGACUCAUAAUAACUGCACGAAUCGCAUGGCUUUACGCUGG